CUUAUGCCGGCGACCGGCGGACGGGUGCGUAACGCGUAUGUAACCUACCUUUGACAGGGGGAUAACAUCGAGAAAUUGGUACUAAUACCCCAUAACAUCACCGGAGGCAUCUUCGGUGGUUGAAAACUCAGGUGGUCAGAGAUGGACAUGCGUUGUAUUAGCUAGUUGGUGAGGUAACGGCUCACCAAGGCGACGAUACAUAGGGGGACCGAGAGGUCAACCCCCCACAUUGGUACUGAGACACGGACCAAACUCCUACGGAAGGCAGCAG
rnacentral:rRNA from 1 species